rfam:Oryza barthii chromosome 8, whole genome shotgun sequence.
AAAAACAAUAGUUUUUCACUGUUAAGGUCUAACAUUUGUCCGACCGUCUUAUUUAGAAAAAAAUUUGUGAUUAGUAUUUUUAUUGUUAUUAGAUGAUAAAACAUGAAUAAUACUUUAUGUGACUAUUUUUUUAAUUUUUCUAUAAAAUUUUAAAUAAGGCGGACGGUUAAACGUUGGACACGGAAAUCUACAACUGCACUUAAA